rnacentral:rRNA from 1 species
UACGUAGGGUGCAAGCGUUAAUCGGAAUUACUGGGCGUAAAGCGUGCGCAGGCGGUUAUGUAAGACAGAUGUGAAAUGCCCGGGCUUAACCUGGGAACUGCAUUUGUGACUGCAUGGCUAGAGUUUGGGAGAGGGAUGCGGAAUUCCAGGUGUAGCGGUGAAAUGCGUAGAUAUCUGGAGGAACACCGGUGGCGAAGGCGGCAUCCUGGACCAACACUGACACUGAGGAGCGAAAGCCAGGGGAGCAAACGGG